rnacentral:rRNA from 1 species
UACGUAGGGUGCAAGCGUUGUCCGGAAUUAUUGGGCGUAAAGAGCUCGUAGGCGGUUUGUCGCGUCUGCUGUGAAAACCCGAGGCUCAACCUCGGGCCUGCAGUGGGUACGGGCAGACUAGAGUGCGGUAGGGGAGAUUGGAAUUCCUGGUGUAGCGGUGGAAUGCGCAGAUAUCAGGAGGAACACCUAUAGCGAAGGCAGCUUGCUGGGACGUUACUGACGCUAAGGCGCGAAAGCGUGGGGAGCGAACAGG